rnacentral:rRNA from 1 species
GGGGAAUUUUGGACAAUGGGCGCAAGCCUGAUCCAGCAAUGCCGCGUGAGUGAAGAAGGCCUUCGGGUUGUAAAGCUCUUUUGUCAGGGAAGAAACGGUGGAGGCUAAUAUCCUUUGCUAAUGACGGUACCUGAAGAAUAAGCACCGGCUAACUACGUGCCAGCAGCCGCGGUAAUACGUAGGGGUCGAGCGUUGUCCGGAGUUACUGGGCGUAAAGCGUGCGCAGGCGGCUCAUCGCGCUCGGCGUGAAAGCCCCCGGCUCAACCGGGGAGGGUCGUCGAGGACGGAUGGGCUUGAGGGUAUCAGGGGUUGGUGGAAUUCCCGGUGUAGUGGUGAAAUGCGUAGAGAUCGGGAGGAACACCCGUGGCGAAGGCGGCCAACUGGGAUACACCUGACGCUGAGGCACGAAGGCGUGGGGAGCGAA